AUCUCCAAAGACUGCAUACUGCAAAGGCAGCUGCCUAGAGAUGCCACAGGAGAAGAGAUUUGCCUGAGCUCCUCAACACUUCUGCAAGCAGCAACUUCUGCAACUUCAAGUUAAUGAUUAGGCUCUCUUUGAGGAGCAGAAUAGCAUGAAGACUGAACUGAAGGCGAAAAAGAGCAUUGGGACCAUGGAUCUAAGAAAAAAAUCAUAUAAUGAGUUCCAUCAGUAAGACAUUGACAUCUUCCUCAGCUGUCCCUCCUUACGUGUUCUUCUUCAAAUGGAUGAGAAUUAAGAAAGGAACCCAAAUAUGCAGAAAUUACGGGAAAUAAUGUUCCUGAUAUAAAAUCUCAUCUCAGAGACUGAAUGUAAGUGUUUAUGAAAAAGAAAAAUAUAGUGAAUAUUGGAUCUGAUGUCCGCUGGAGAGCAGAAAAAGAAGUAGACAACAAACGAAAAAGGUGGAAGAAGACGUGGUGAUUGGCAACAGAUUUGUAUUUUGAUAAUUUCCGAUGUUACAACACUCAGUUUUAUUCUCACUGGCAACAACUCAGCCAUCUUCACCAAAGGGAAAAAAAAAGGAGCUUGUUUUGAGGAAAAAAACACUGUCUGAUGAUCAUUCUGACCAACCUCAUCAGGGAGGUGAUAGCCAAGUGAUGCCGAUCUGAAAGCGACAAAGACAAAUGACAAAGAGAAAAAACUUCUAAUUCAUAGAUGACAGACACAGGUCAAGACAUGUGGACUGAAGAAUGAGUCAAAUAGGUGAAGCAACUGUGAGAAAUUACUUUCAGAAAGUAGAAAAUAUGUAACUAUCAGAGUAACAGGCGUGUAAAAAAUGAAAAUAUCACAGUAUGGAAUAUGAUAUCAUUAUUGGAAAGGAUUAUUUCAGUCUCAUAAAACACACAUAAAUGGGACCAUAAGACAUAUGUCAGGGUUUGUUGAAAAUCAGAGACAUCAAAGGUGAACCAGGUGAAGAGACAAAGCCACAUUUCUAGGGAGCCUCAGUGCAUGGCAGAGACACAGAGAUGCUUGUACAGCCCAGUAAAACUGACUGAAGGAUAAUAUUAAAGACUGCUGGGGAGUGAGGGUUACUUAGCAGAAAAAGGUGUCAGCAUUCUGUCAUGCAGCAGAUGUCAGGAGAACUGCAGUUGAUCCCCAGAAUACAUUUUAAGAUAACAGAAAAAGCAGUGAUUAUGUAGUUACAUUAAAGAACGGGGAUAGCAGAAAGUUCUGAACUGUUUUGUUCUUCUUGUGCUUGAGAGCAGAGCAUAGAAUCAUUUGAGAAUUAGACCUUUUUGUAAUACUAAUGAAUGAAAAUGAGCAUUAAAUUUGUCCUAAGCUUGUGACUUCGCAUCACAGACUCCCAGGAACAGCAUAUCAGAAAAAUUAUUUGUUAUUCCUGCUGACUUUCAAAGAACUCUUCUAUAUUUCUGACAGAAUUGAAGGCCCAGGAAUCUUGAAGAUUGAGCUAGCUAGGCUUGUCCUUGCCUACAAAGAAAAAGAGUUUCUAUUUCCCAGUGGGAAAGCAGAAAUUAAUUCAUAAUUCCAAACCCCUAUUUAUUAGUUCCACUCACCAGUAAUGGACAAGAAACAAAUCCGUGUGACUUGGGGGACUGGUUACUGUGGGAGAGCAUUAAGCAUGAAUAGUGAAGGCACAGAUCCAACAUGCAGUGGGCUGAAAUUGGCUGAAAUAUGUUCCCAGCAAGUAUUUCUUGAAUACUUAUAAGUAACAAAAAAAUACAAGAACCCCUAAACUGUUCCAAUCGGUUUGUUAACGAUAAUAGCCCAUCAUUUGGUGAACAUACUGUUUGCCAUCAACUGUUUGUCCAUCCCUCCUGCUGGUGGAAGAGAGCUCUGGCUGAGUGGACAGAUGUUUUUUCCUGCUAACUCUGACAACACUUGGGUCCAUGGUCCUUGACCAGAGGAACUAAUUAAGUAGUAAAAUCAGCUCUUUGUAAGAUGGGAAGAAAGGGUAGAACCACUGAAGAACAUGAGGCACUGAUUAACUCACAAGUGUUUUCUGUAUAAUGCAAAUCAUUAAGGCUUAGUGGUCUCUGAGACUAAUAAACCAGAACCAUAAACAUAACAACAAUAUCACAAAUCAUAUGUGAAUCCUACAGGAUCUUUUUUCUUUCCUGAAAAGAAAAUGGUUCAAUCUGUAAAAAUAAUGUCUUUAACUUCUUAUUUACUAAUCUUUAAAUUUUGAUUCUAUACCUUACAACGGAACCUAGCUGGCUGGUUCUUUGUAGUAUGGGUAAUGGUGAAAAAAAAAAAAAAAAAAAGAAGAAAA